UACGUAGGGUGCGAGCGUUAAUCGGAAUUACUGGGCGUAAAGGGCGCGUAGGCGGGCUGCUAAGUUAGAGGUGAAAGCCCAGGGCUCAACCCUGGAAUUGCCUUUAAUACUGGCAGCCUUGAGUAUGGCAGAGGUGUGUGGAACUCCGAGUGUAGAGGUGAAAUUCGUAGAUAUUCGGAAGAACACCAGUGGCGAAGGCGACACACUGGGCCAUUACUGACGCUGAGGCGCGAAAGCGUGGGGAGCAAACAGG
rnacentral:rRNA from 1 species